AUCCACCUGACGAGUCACGAAUAGGACGAAACGCGCGUCCUGGAU
rnacentral:hammerhead_ribozyme from 1 species